rnacentral:rRNA from 1 species
UAGCUAGUUGGUGGGGUAAAGGCCUACCAAGGCGACGAUCGGUAGCUGGUCUGAGAGGAUGGCCAGCCACACUGGAACUGAGACACGGUCCAGACUCCUACGGGAGGCAGCAGUGGGGAAUAUUGGACAAUGGGGGCAACCCUGAUCCAGCAAUGCCGCGUGUGUGAAGAAGGCCUGAGGGUUGUAAAGCACUUUCAGUGGGGAGGAGUGUUGACUGUUUAAGAGAUGGUUGAUUGGACGUUACCCACAGAAGAAGCACCGGCUAACUCCGUGCCAGCAGCCGCGGUAAUACGGAGGGUGCGAGCGUUAAUCGGAAUUACUGGGCGUAAAGGGUUCGUAGGUGGUUAGAUAAGUUAUGUGUAAAAUCCCUGGGCUCAACCUGGACAUGUCAGAUAAUACUGUUUAACUCGAGUAUGGGAGAGGGUAGUGGAAUUUCCGGUGUAGCGGUGAAAUGCGUAGAGAUCGGAAGGAACACCAGUGGCGAAGGCGGCUACCUGGCCUAAUACUGACACUGAGGAACGAAAGCGUGGGGAGCAAACAGGAUUAGAUACCCUGGUAGUCCACGCUGUAAACGAUGUCAACUAGCUGUUGGCUAUAUGAAUAUAGUUAGUGGCGC